CCAUGAAGGAAACACAAUCAUUUUUCUAGCCCACCGUAUUAAUGUCCAGUGGUUAGAACUUCAACAUUUUCAAUUUCUUGUUUCGGUUCCUUUUCGUCUGAGAUAGUAUCUGAGUUUUCCUCUAAAACCGGACUGCUUUUGAACAUUUCCGGACUGCUUUUGAACAUUUCGUGCAUUUCCAGAGCUGCAAACUUCUCUCUGUCUCCUUUUAGAAGUUCAAUCACUUCAAGCAUUGUUGGUCGCUUCUCGGGUUGAUUAUGACUACAUACGAGUCCUACAAGGACAACCCUUUUCAACUCUUCUUCCACAUACUUCCCAGUGAGCCUCAAAUCCACAAGUUCGUUGAAUUUUC
rnacentral:lncRNA from 1 species